GGAUUUUAUAAAACAAUAUACACCAUCAUUAACCAUUUCAUAAAACUAUGAAUUACUUCCUUUACUUACUUUUCAUUCCAUUUACUAAGCAUAAACAUAAAUAACAACAUCAAUUCAAUAAUUAGUAUAUUUAUUCACAUCAUAGGUUAGUUCAUCCAUAACAUACGUAAUUUCUCAUAUAUAAGUACAUCUUUCAAUUUAUCAAUACCUUUUUUUUCAUAUCAUAUUUCAUUAAUGAUCUUACUGUUUCAUUACCUUUUCUUACCCGUUUCAUUUGUAUAAUACCAAACAUAAGCAUAAACAUCAAUCAUUAUCUCAAGAUUGACAUAAGCCUAGUCACCAUCAUCAAUACACAAGUUAGUGCAUUUAAAUAUACAACUCAUUUGGGGUCAAUCACAUGCUAAACCAUUUUAUAAGAAAAUACAUAUUUUGAAUCAUACCACCUUCUCAUGAACAUAAGCAUAUUCUCAUUUUUGUCAAUUACCAUUUCAAUAUAUAUCAUUAAUAUUAAACAUGAUAUAAUGUACCCUUAAGCUUAACAUAAACCUAAGCAUCAUCUACAAUCUCAACUAUUGAAUUCAUUUAUAUUCAGAUCAAUAUUCAAUAAAUAACAAAUCUUUCAAAUUCAUUAAAUAAAUUACCUUACCAAGAUUUUUCAUUCGAAGAACGACUUACAGAUAAGAGGACAUCGUUAAUCCAACCAAAUACAAUAGAUGCUCAUAGGAGCCAAUCCCUUCAAAACACAACAGAUGCUCACACGAGUCAAUCCCUCCAACAUACCAAUGCUCAUAAGAGUUAAUCCAACCAAAACACCAAAUAGAGAGUAUAACACGAAAAUUCGCAACACAUGUUAAACCUCGAUUUACUUGAGCAAUAUGAAUAUACAUCACUCCAUAGCCAUCUCCACUCCAAUCCCCCAUAACACACCAAAUCAUGACUGUACUCUGUCCCGCACUUAAUCUAAUUCGAACAUCAAUUUUCAAUAAUAUUUCUCAAAUAAUCAUUCAUUAUCAUCAAUUGAAUAAAU
rnacentral:lncRNA from 1 species